GCAGCUUUUUCAAGGCUGCUCUUUCUUCUGUUCUGCUGCAAGCCACUAAUGCUUCUCCAUUUACUUCCUGUCUUCUGAAAAUUCAUUAAAACUUCUUGUAUGUUGAUGAGGGAACCGAGAUCUGAAGAAGAGAAAUGACCUAUCCAAGUUCCCCCAGCUGGGGCCAGUUCUUCUGUUUCACCUAGAAUUGGAUGUUCCAACUCCUGCAGCCGAGGUCCUCUCUUGGGUCCUGAUUUUCCUUGCAAACUGACCAAAGGAAGCUUCCAGAAGCAACUGUCCACUACAAGAGGAAGGUGUGGCCAUGAGGGAAGACGGAGGCUCCAGAGGUCCUGGCUCUGCAGAGACCGCGGUGCUGCCUCCCAGCCUGCCUGAAACCUGACUUGGUUUGCACCAGCGGGUGCCCAGGCCUCCACAGAGUCUUCGGUUCUCCAGGUUUCCCAUGCCGCCAUUCUUGAUCAGUUUUCAUCUCACCUCUGUGGUUUCUACCUCCUGUAGAUGCUUCAACUCCGCCACUGAAGCCAAUGCUGCCUGCUUCCUCCGGUGACAGCAGCAAAGCAGGCAGCAGUGGCCUUGGAGGCUCUGGCUGGACCCACUGUCAUGCAUUGUCUUCCACGGUUACUCAGGCACCUUUCCUUUACCUGGAAAAUAUCUCUGAGCUCAAACAUUCAACUCACAUCUUGGAGCCAUAACAAAUAAAGGAAGACGGCUUUGGUAACUCAGUAAAGCUUGGGGCUGCAGUCUUGAUGAGGAGGGCAAGUUCCGAGUCCAGAUGGCUUGAAUUCCAAUGCAUCUCUG
rnacentral:lncRNA from 10 species